CGAUUUCCUACGGCUAUGGAGUAAAUUCUGUGAAAGCUGGGAGCCCGGAGAGACUGGAGGGACCCGAAGUUCCCCGGCCCGCCCCCAGCCGUGCGGCACGUUAAGGAGCUCCCGCACGUUAGAGUGAAUGGGCUGCCGAGAAGCGGUUACCCGACGCCAAACCCGGCGCGGAGCAGGCGGGAUCUCGAGGAGCCUCGGCUCUAAUCGGGCCGCCCUUGGGGGAUGCUCGGAGUUACGCCAGCGUGAGGGCGGCCUUUGGGCACAGGGCAGAGCCCGCCCAGGGGCUCUUCCCCUUUCCGCUUCCCCGGCACCGCGCAGUCUGGCAAAACUACGCGCCCGCCGCUCAGAGUCGUGUUUCUGAGCACAUGAAGCACGGGACCGCAAAGGAAGUCGGUCAGAUUUGGGCCCGAAACCGAGAAACCCUCGGUUCAAUCCCGCCUCGGACGUCGCGUGUCCUUGCACAAGGCGCUCCAUUCCUCUGCGCUCUCCACCACUGGGCGGCGGCCCGAACUGGCCGAGGGGCGUCUUCAUCUGGAACCAAGGAAAGCGCAGGGGGCCCAGGCUCCGGCCCGUCCAGAACUAUGGGUCAGCAAACUUCUGAGAAGGUGGCCGAGGAAAGGGAUGGAGAAGGAUGCUUAGGGGUUCCUCAGGCCUGUCUCCUCAGAAGGGGAGACCCAAAGAUGGCAGGGACUCGCGCCCGAUUACUCCCAAGUCAUUGUCGGCAGAGCCCGGAUUCUACCCAGGUCUGAACUAAAGCUGAGCAUCCCGCACUUCUUCCCGACUCCUCCCUAAUGUGGCCUCAGGUAACAAAGCCUUGCUGGGGGCGUCUUUCCCACCGGAGACAGGGGGCUCAUGCUCCCCGAAUUGCAAGAAGGAAGCAGGAGUAAGGCGCAAUCGUUCUGCCAAGGAAGAAAAGAGCCCGAGCUUGCGUGUGAUCCCAGGACUCCUAGGUAGUAGCCGCCCAAGUUUAUUGGCAGCCAAGUGAAGGGUUCUUUCCAUGACAUCAAAGAACGCAAGGGCCCCUGGGGAAAUCAUAUUGCCAGUGGGUGAUGUGGGACUUGAAUGAAAAAGAAAAGCCAUUUCUCACACAGCAGAGACUCCGUCACUCUCCUGCCUCCCUCCGAAGACUUUAAGGGUCCCCCAGGGCCUAAAGGAUACGGCAUGUGAGAGCCUUAGCGCAUCAUCAAAAACCGAGAUGCUUGUGGAUGUGAUUGAAUCCUGUCUCUACUGGCUACUUCCCUUGCUUUCUGAGUCUCCAUAAAAUGAGAGAAUGAGCCCUGAGUUGUCCCACUCCCAAUGUCUCUCAAUAAUGGAAUAUCCCCUAGAAGAUAAAGGAAAGACUCAGAGCAAGAAUAAGUGGCCUGAAACAUUUCCAACCAAGAACUACAUAGAAGUGACUAGUCUCCCAAGGAGUUCCCUCUUCCAUAUGGAGAUCCUGCAUGAUACCAAGUAGCCACAUUUGUGCAAAGGAGACAGGCAAGAAAUUAUCUCUAUUUUGUGUUUUAUUUGACAGUAACUGGGAGUCAUUGAAGACAGCUCUCUCUGUAGCUGAGGUUCUCAAAGAAUCUUGAAUGGUCAUAAUACUGAAUGCAUGAGGAUUCUUGACCCAACAAAAGACCAUACCUUUCUUUCCUAGAGUCAAACACUUGUUUUUAAUCAACACACACAGUAGGAGCCAUUGACUGCCCUUUUUGAUCAACGGUGUGAUUGUAAAGAUGAGGACUGCUACAAUCAUUUGAAGGAACCUAUUUUUUGACUUGAAGUUUUCAUCAACGAGAGCCUUGAGUUAUAUGUAUGUAUUUGUGUAUGUAUGUAUAUAUGUGUAUACAUAUACAUGUGUUGCAUGUGUAUAAACAUGUAUAUAUAUAUAUAUAUACU
rnacentral:lncRNA from 1 species